UAGGGAAUCUUCCACAAUGGGCGCAAGCCUGAUGGAGCAACACCGCGUGAGUGAAGAAGGGUUUCGGCUCGUAAAGCUCUGUUGUUAAAGAAGAACACGUACGAGAGUAACUGUUCAUACGUUGACGGUAUUUAACCAGAAAGUCACGGCUAAACUACGUGCCAG
rnacentral:rRNA from 1 species